GUUCCAUGAAUUCUUAAAGCUAGAAAAUGAGAUUGGAAAUAUCACAAGACAGGAAGCUGUCAGUAUGGUUCCUCCCCUCUUCUUGGAUGUGCAUCGAGAUCAUUUUGUGCUUGAUAUGUGUGCUGCACCAGGUUCAAAAACAUUCCAAUUGCUUGAGAUUAUACACCAGUCAACCAAAGCAGGAUCAUUACCAGAUGGAAUGGUU